rnacentral:rRNA from 1 species
CGACCGGCGCACGGGUGAGUAACGCGUAUCCAACCUGCCUUACACUCUUGGACAGCCUUCUGGAAGGGAGAUUAAUACAAGAUGUUAUCAUGAGUAAGCAUUUUCACAUGAUUAAAGGUUUACCGGUGUAAGAUGGGGAUGCGUUCCAUUAGAUAGUAGGCGGGGUAACGGCCCACCUAGUCUUCGAUGGAUAGGGGUUCUGAGAGGAAGGUCCCCCACAUUGGAACUGAGACACGGUCCAA